CCAAAAGGCUCGUUAGAAAUUAGAAUUUGAGUUUUUUGAUCCUAAACAAGUACUUGCAUGGUUCUCACAUUUCGAGUUUGUGUAGAUAAUUUUUAACUCUUAUUCAAGUGAGCAUAAAAAAGGAGUCAUUGCUUGGUUACGAGUGCUAAAAGAUUUGGACUAAUAGGUAUGAUAGUAAUAUUUUUUUCUUUUUAAUGUGAACAGGAGAUAGCAGGAUGCUAUCCUUAAGUGCAAUAGCAAGGAUCAAGGGUAGGGACUUUGUGCCCCCCAAAAAAAAUAAAAAGAAGAAAAAUUUAUCCCCAUUAAUCCACCCCUCCCA
rnacentral:lncRNA from 1 species